CCUACGGGAGGCAGCAGUGGGGGAUAUUGCACAAUGGGGGGAACCCUGAUGCAGCGACGCCGUGUGGGUGAAGAAGCGCCUCGGCGCGUAAAGCCCUGUCAGCAGGGAAGAAAAUGACGGUACCUGAAGCAGAAGCCCCGGCUAACUACGUGCCAGCCGCCGCGGUAAUACGGAGGGGGCAAGCGUUAUCCGGAUUUACUGGGUGUAAAGGGGGCGUAGACGGCGAUGCAAGCCAGGAGUGAAAGCCCGGGGCCCAACCCCGGGACUGCUCUUGGAACUGGGUGGCUGGAGUGCAGGAGGGGCAGGCGGAAUUCCUGGUGUAGCGGUGAAAUGCGUAGAUAUCAGGAGGAACACCGGUGGCGAAGGCGGCCUGCUGGACUGCAACUGACGUUGAGGCCCGAAAGCGUGGGGAGCAAACAGGAUUAGAUACCCGGGUAGUC
rnacentral:rRNA from 1 species